AAUAUGCACUGAACUCUGGGAGAACAUUAAGGAGUCAGUGCUGCUGUUGGGUUCAGAACCACAGAGAGGAGAGAACAUGAAAUCAAGUCAAACUUUAUUUGUCAAGUGCACCGAAUACAACGGGUGAAGACUUCACCAUGACAUGCUGAAUACAACAGGUGAAGACUUCACCAUGAAAUGCUGAAUACAACAGGUGAAGACUUCACCAUGACAUGCUGAAUACAACAGGUGAAGACUUCACCAUGACAUGCUGAAUACAACAGGUGAAGACUUCACCAUGACAUGCUGAAUACAACAGGUGAAGACUUCACCAUGACAUGCUGAAUACAACGGGUGAAGACUUCACCAUGACAUGCUGAAUACAACAGGUGAAGACUUCACCAUGACAUGCUGAAUACAACAGGUGAAGACUUCACCAUGACAUGCUGAAUACAACAGGUGAAGACUUCACCAUGAAAUGCUGAAUACAACAGGUGAAGACUUCACCAUGACAUGCUGAAUACAACGGGUGAAGACUUCACCAUGAAAUGCUGAAUACAACGGGUGAAGACUUCACCAUGAAAUGCUGAAUACAACGGGUGAAGACUUCACCAUGACAUGCUGAAUACAACGGGUGAAGACUUCACCAUGACAUGCUGAAUACAACAGGUGAAGACUUCACCAUGACAUGCUGAAUACAACGGGUGAAGACUUCACCAUGACAUGCUGAAUACAACAGGUGAAGACUUCACCAUGACAUGCUGAAUACAACGGGUGAAGACUUCACCAUGACAUGCUGAAUACAACGGGUGAAGACUUCACCAUGACAUGCUGAAUA